rnacentral:rRNA from 1 species
CCUACGGGUGGCAGCAGUGGGGAAUAUUGCACAAUGGGGGAAACCCUGAUGCAGCGACGCCGCGUGAGUGAAGAAGUAAUUCGUUAUGUAAAGCUCUGUCAGCAGGGAAGAAAAUGACGGUGCCUGAGUAAGAAGCCCCGGCUAACUACGUGCCAGCAGCCGCGGUAAUACGUAGGGGGCAAGCGUUAUCCGGAGUUACUGGGUGGAAAGGGAGCGUAGACGGCAGUGCAAGUCUGGAGUGAAAGGCGGGGGCUCAACCCCCGGACUGCUCUGGAAACUGUACGGCUGGAGUGCAGGAGAGGUAAGUGGAAUUCCUAGUGUAGCGGUGAAAUGCGUAGAUAUUAGGAGGAACACCAGUGGCGAAGGCGGCUUACUGGACUGUAACUGACGUUGAGGCUCGAAAGCGUGGGGAGCAAACAGGAUUAGAUACCCCUGUAGUC